rnacentral:lncRNA from 1 species
ACUCGAAUCCGUCACGUCUCUCACAAAAUUCAAAAUUCCUCAGCUUAGCCAAUCGGCGAUCAUCUAUUGUGAGAUUACAUCAUCUCCUGCCCACUGGUGCUUCCAUGGCGAACAAAGAGAUUCACUGCGACUGUGUGAUAAAGUUGGUAAGGGAAAACUCAAAAUUCUUUGAUUGAUAUUAUUUGAUUGGGUUUCAAUGUCCAGAGAGAGAACCCGAAGCGGCGAAAGGAUAGGGUUUACGUGGGAUGUGGAGCUGGAUUCGGCGGGGACAGGCCAGUGGCGGCUCUCAAACUCCUCCAGAGAGUGGAAGAGAUAAACUAUCUUGUCCUUGAGUGCUUAGCCGAACGAACCCUGGCUGAUCGCUGGCUCUCU